rnacentral:rRNA from 1 species
GCCUAAGAAGGAGAAUGGGAUGAAGGGAGUUGCCCACUGCACAAGAUGACCAAACUCCGGACAAUGAGUUUGCACGGGUUCAAUCAAUCUAAACAUGGGGCCGCACUUGAGAAUGCUCUUGCGAAGAUGAAUCUCCUUCAAAACUUGUGGCUUCAUGGUGAUGAGAUCCCGUCGUGUGUCUUCGCCGCACAGAGCCUUCAAUACCUUGAAAUAGUAUGGCUUAGUGGCACAGUCAAA